rfam:Chlorocebus sabaeus isolate 1994-021 chromosome 11, whole genome shotgun sequence.
GCCAGGCAGAGUGGCACACCCGUGCAGUCCCAGCUGCUGGGGAGGCUGAGGUGAGAGAAUUGCUUGAGCCCAGGAGUUCAGGGCUGUGGUGUGCUUUGCUAGUUGGAUAUCCACACUUAACACACCACUGUGGUGACUUCCUGGGAGAAGCAGAGCACUAGGUUGCCUAAGGAGGAGUGAACCAGCCCAGGUGGAAAUGGACAGGUCAGAACUCCCAUGCUGAUGAGUGAGAUCUGUGAAUAGCUACUGCAGUUCAGCCUGGGUAACAUGGCAAGACCCUGUCUUAA